rnacentral:rRNA from 1 species
UACGUAGGGGGCAAGCGUUGUCCGGAAUCAUUGGGCGUAAAGCGCGUGUAGGCGGCUCGGUAAGUCUGCUGUGAAAGUCCAGGGCUCAACCCUGGGAUGCCGGUGGAUACUGUCGAGCUCGAGUCCGGAAGAGGAGAGUGGAAUUCCUGGUGUAGCGGUGAAAUGCGCAGAUAUCAGGAAGAACACCUAUGGCGAAGGCAGCUCUCUGGGACGGUACUGACGCUGAGACGCGAAAGCGUGGGGAGCGAACAGG